rnacentral:lncRNA from 1 species
CGAGAUCUGACGGUUGUAAAAACAAGACUUUCUCUGCACAAGCUCUCUCUUUGCCUGCUGCCAUCCACCUAAGAUGUAACUUGCCUUUCCUCGCCUUCCACCAUGAUUGUGAAGCCUCCACAACCAUGUAGAACUCCUUCCUCUGACUUAUGAUGCUAUAAAUCAGGAUUCAUAGCCUAUGUCUAGAUCCCAGCAACUUUUGACAACAAGCUGUUGGAAACUCCUCAGCUUAAAAUGUGAACAUGAUGCAAUGUAGAUAAGGAAACGGAAGUUACAUUUUGAAGUUGGCAGCACACUGAAAGAGAAGGAGACUGGGUCUCUGAUGACAUACAUCAUGGAGCAACCACUCAACCAGCUCUGGACUCCUGAUGAUUCAAAAUAUUCACACUAAAGAGAAGUUGAAUUCUAUGUUGUUUAGGUCGUGGCACUUGAGGAUUCCUUUUUAUUUUUAUAAAAGAAGCCUAAACAAACCCUGACUAAUAAAGUGGUAUUUACAUUAUUA